CUUUUGUUUACCAACUUGUAAAAUUAACGACUCAGGUAUGGAUUGAAAGAGCAAAGCCCGAGCCAUAUCAUUCUUCUCUUCGUCGGCUGAUCCGGG